GACGAACGCUGGCGGCGUGCCUAAUACAUGCAAGUCGAGCGGACCAAAGGGAGCUUGCUCCUGGAGGUUAGCGGCGAACGGGUGAGUAACACGUGGGCAACCUGCCUGUAAGACUGGGAUAACAUCGAGAAAUCGGUGCUAAUACCGGAUAAUAAAAAGAACUGCAUGGUUCUUUUUUGAAAGAUGGUUUCGGCUAUCACUUACAGAUGGGCCCGCGGCGCAUUGGCUAGUUGGUGAGGUAACGGCUCACCAAGACGAUGAUACGUAGCCGACCUGAGAGGGUGAUCGGCCACAUUGGGACUGAGACACGGCCCAAACUCCUACGGGAGGCAGCAGUAGGGAAUCUUCCGCAAUGGACGAAAGUCUGACGGAGCAACGCCGCGUGAGUGAAGAAGGUUUUCGGAUCGUAAAACUCUGUUGUCAGAGAAGAACAAGUUGGAGAGUAACUGCUCCAGCCUUGACGGUAUCUGACCAGAAAGCCACGGCUAACUACGUGCCAGC
rnacentral:rRNA from 1 species